AGGAAGUGAAAGUAUAAAAAUCUGGAAUGCAAACUCACAUUUAAAAGAGCUAGAACCCGCUCUGGUGUGAAAGGCGUACAGCGGUUUGAUCCCCGCUUAUGGGAUAUGAAGUAAAUUUCCUUCGUCUGUGAUAUGUUUCCUCCGUCCGUGGUAUGAUAAGCACUCGGGUAAAAAGAAACAGCCAAUAGUGUUCACUGGAUAAGAAACUUUUAGAUAAAAUAAUAAAA